rnacentral:rRNA from 1 species
UACGUAGGGUGCAAGCGUUGUCCGGAAUUAUUGGGCGUAACGAGCUUGUAGGCGGUUUGUCGCGUCUGCUGUGAAAUUUCGGGGCUCAACCCCGAACUUGCAGUGGGUACGGGCAGACUAGAGUGUGGUAGGGGAGACUGGAAUUCCUGGUGUAGCGGUGAAAUGCGCAGAUAUCAGGAGGAACACCGAUGGCGAAGGCAGGUCUCUGGGCCACUACUGACGCUGAGAAGCGAAAGCAUGGGGAGCGAACAGG